AUGGACGAAAGUCUGAUGGAGCAACGCCGCGUGAGUGAAGAAGGGUUUCGGCUCGUAAAACUCUGUUGUUAAAGAAGAACAUAUCUGAGAGUAACUGUUCAGGUAUUGACGGUAUUUAACCAGAAAGCCACGGCUAACUACGUGCCAGCAGCCGCGGUAAUACGUAGGUGGCAAGCGUUGUCCGGAUUUAUUGGGCGUAAAGCGAGCGCAGGCGGUUUUUUAAGUCUGAUGUGAAAGCCUUCGGCUCAACCGAAGAAGUGCAUCGGAAACUGGGAAACUUGAGUGCAGAAGAGGACAGUGGAACUCCAUGUGUAGCGGUGAAAUGCGUAGAUAUAUGGAAGAACACCAGUGGCGAAGGCGGCUGUCUGGUCUGUAACUGACGCUGAGGCUCGAAAGUAUGGGUAGCAAACAGGAUUAGAUACCCUGGUAGUCCAUACCGUAAACGAUGAAUGCUAAGUGUUGGAGGGUUUCCGCCCUUCAGUGCUGCAGCUAACGCAUUAAGCAUUCCGCCUGGGGAGUACGGCCGCAAGGCUGAAACUCAAAGGAAUUGACGGGGGCCCGCACAAGCGGUGGAGCAUGUGGUUUAAUUCGAAGCUACGCGAAGAACCUUACCAGGUCUUGACAUACUAUGCAAAUCUAAGAGAUUAGACGUUCCCUUCGGGGACAUGGAUACAGGUGGUGCAUGGUUGUCGUCAGCUCGUGUCGUGAGAUGUUGG
rnacentral:rRNA from 2 species